UUUUCCAGAUUUCUUUUUCUCUGUUCUUGGCUGGAUUUUCUAGAUUUCUUCUCUUCUUCUCAAGGAGCCACACCUCUAUGCAACUAUCUCCCUUCCCUUCUCUUAACAUUAGUGCUUUCAUUGCUGAAUCGGAACUGCAACUCAUGGCGGAAGGAACUCGAUUGUCCAAGAUAGGUGAUGCAAUUAAAAAUUUCAAUCAUUUCAAUCUCCUAAACUCCAAGAUUCAACUGAAUUCAAGAAGAGCACUGAAGCCAACUUUGCAGAGAUCCGUAGUACCUUACAGCAAUUCAUGUCUCAUGUUGAUGCUCGAUUGGAUUCCUUACAAUCCAUAAUGGUGCUUAUAUAAAUGAAGGUGAAACAAGACAUGAGGGUUUGGUAAUUCUAGCAACUCCUAAUCGGUUUGUUAUGGGUAGAUCUAUGAGGCUUGACGUACCAAGAUUUGAUGGGACAGAUGUAAUUGGGUAAUUCCAGGAACUCCUACAUAGUUCUUUGAGUACCCAUCAGACACCACAAGACCAGAGGAUUCUCGUAUCUUCUUUUCAUAUAGAGGGACCUACACUUUCUUGGUUUCUUGGCCUCAAUUUUUGCAAGCUCUCAGAUUGAGAUUGAGUCCAUCAAUCUAUGAAGAUCCUAAAGGAAAAUUGGCAAACUUGAGGAAAUAUAAACUCAGAUUCAUGGCUUAUCAGAGGAUUUUCUCAUAAGUUUCUUCAUAUCUAGUCUGAAACCUAAGUUGAGGAAGGAAUUAUUAGUGGCUCAACCUUGUUCUUUGGUACAAGCUAUGGCCUUGGCUAAGCUGCACGAGGACAAGUAUAAAGAUUUGAAGCAGUUUUGGACGCAACCUUGGAAUAAGUACAGAAAUACAGGCUCUCACUCUGUUCCACAAGGAUAAUAUGGAUGUAGUUCCAGAGGUUAGCAUACAUGUGUUAGCUGGUCAGUUCAGUCCUAAAACUAUAAGGCUCCAAGGUUGGUAUGGAAAGAAGAGGUUACAAGUACUCAUUGAUUCAGGGAGUACUCAUAAUUUUAUCCAAGAGAAAGUGGCCACAGAUCUGCAACUACCUAUAUUUUACAAACUAAGCAAUUUAAGGUGUUUGUCGGAGAUGAGCAAUAGUUGAUGUAUGAUAAGAAGUGUGCGGUUGUGCCAUUCUCUUUGCAAGGUACAGAAUUCAUCACUGAAUUCUUUAUCUUGUCAAUUGCUGGGGCUGAUGCUGUACUUGGUAUUCAGUGGCUUGAAUUGUUGGGAUCCAUUUUGGAUGAUUAUAGAGAGUUAAUAGUGGAGUUGUCAUGGCAUGCUAAACAGGUGAAGUUAGUGGGUGAAUCAUCUCUUAAUGUAGAUUCCUUGACACCUAAGCAGCUUAGAAAGAUGGCUAUAAAUGGUAGCAUUGCUUCAUUGUAUCAUCUACAGGCCCAACUCAUUACAAAAUCAGUUAUGGACAUCAACAAACUUCCAUCAGAAUUGGCAGCAGUUCUAAUAGAGUUUGAUGAAAUGGUUCAAGAGCCUAAAACACUACCCCUUUUAAGAGAAUUUGACCACAAAUCUAGAUUACCGGAAGUGAUGGAUUUAGGUUCACAAAUGUCGUAUUCUUGUUCUAUACAGUACAAACCAAUUUGUUACUUAGAAAGGAGAAUUUUGAAGAUAGUGAGCUGCAAGCAUUGCAUAA